AGCGAACGCUGGCGGCAGGCUUAACACAUGCAAGUCGAACGCAUCCUUCGGGGUGAGUGGCAGACGGGUGAGUAACGCGUGGGAACAUGCCCUUUGGUUCGGAAUAACUCAGGGAAACUUGAGCUAAUACCGGAUAAGCCCUUUUGGGGAAAGAUUUAUCGCCGAAGGAUUGGCCCGCGUCCGAUUAGCUAGUUGGUGAGGUAAUGGCUCACCAAGGCGACGAUCGGUAGCUGGUCUGAGAGGAUGAUCAGCCACACUGGGACGGAGACACGGCCCAGACUCCUACGGGAGGCAGCAGUGGGGAAUAUUGGACGAUGGGGGCAACCCUGAUCCAGCCAUGCCGCGUGAGUGAUGAAGGCCCUAGGGUUGUAAAGCUCUUUCGGCGGGGACGAUAAUGACGGUACCCGCAGAAGAAGCCCCGGCUAACUUCGUGCCAGCCGCCGCCGUAA
rnacentral:rRNA from 1 species